GACGAACGCUGGCGGCGUGCUUAACACAUGCAAGUCGAACGGACAGGCCCUGCUUUUGUGGGGCGCUCGAGUGGCGCACGCGUGAGUAACACGUGAGUAACAUGUCCUUGACUUUGGGGUAACUUCAGGAAACUGGGGCUCAUACCGGAUAGGAGCUCCUGCUGCACGGUGGGGGUUGGAAAGUUUCGGCGGUUGGGGCUGGACUCGCGGCUUAUCAGCUUGUUGGUGGGGUAGUGGCUUACAAAGGCUUUGACGGGUAGCCGGCCUGAGAGGGUGGACGGGCACAAGGGGACUGAGAGAGGGCCCAGUCGGCAACCGGAGGCAACAGGCGAGAAUAUGGCACAAUGGGCGGGAGCCAGAUGCGGAAACGCCGCGUUCGGGAUAACGUGCUACGGGGUGUAAACCGCUGUCGCCUGUAACGAAGCGUGAGUGACGGUAAUUGGUAAAGAAGCACCGGCUAACUACGUG
rnacentral:rRNA from 1 species